rnacentral:rRNA from 1 species
GAUGAACGCUGGCGGCGUGCCUAACACAUGCAAGUCGAACGAGAUGCGUAUUGGAAAGCUUCGGCCGGAAGAUGCGUUAUCUAGUGGCGGACGGGUGAGUAACACGUGGGUAACCUGCCUUAUGGAGGGGGAUAACAGAGAGAAAUCACUGCUAAUACCGCAUAAGCACACAUUGCCGCAUGGCAGAGUGUGACAAGAUUUAUCGCCAUAAGAUGGACCCGCGUCUGAUUAGCCAGUUGGCAGGGUAAAAGCCUACCAAAGCAACGAUCAGUAGCCGAUCUGAGAGGAUGACCGGCCACAUCGGGACGGGGCCACGGCGCAAACUCCUACGGGAGGCAGCAGUGGGUAAUAUUGCACAAUGGGGGAAACCCUGAUGCAGCGACGCCGCGUGAGUGAAGAAGUAUUUCGGUAUGUAAAGCUCUAUCAGCAGGGAAGAUAAUGACGGUACCUGACUAAGAAGCCCCGGCUAACUACGUG